GCACGGGAGCAAUCCUGGUGGCGAGUGGCGAACGGGUGAGUAAUGUAUCGGAACGUGCCCAGUCGUGGGGGAUAACGCAGCGAAAGCUGUGCUAAUACCGCAUACGAUCUAUGGAUGAAAGCGGGGGAUCGCAAGACCUCGCGCGAUUGGAGUGGCCGAUAUCAGAUUAGCUAGUUGGUGGGGUAAAGGCUCACCAAGGCGACGAUCUGUAGCUGGUCUGAGAGGACGACCAGCCACACUGGAACUGAGACACGGUCCAGACUCCUACGGGAGGCAGCAGUGGGGAAUUUUGGACAAUGGGCGCAAGCCUGAUCCAGCAAUGCCGCGUGCAGGAUGAAGGCCUUCGGGUUGUAAACUGCUUUUGUACGGAGCGAAAAGGCUCUCUCUAAUACAGGGGGCUCAUGACGGUACCGUAAGAAUAAGCACCGGCUAACUACGUGCCAGCAGCCGCGGUAAUACGUAGGGUGCGAGCGUUAAUCGGAAUUACUGGGCGUAAAGCGUGCGCAGGCGGUUAUGUAAGACAGAUGUGAAAUCCCCGGGCUCAACCUGGGACCUGCAUUUGUGACUGCAUGGCUGGAGUACGGCAGAGGGGGAUGGAAUUCCGCGUGUAGCAGUGAAAUGCGUAGAUAUGCGGAGGAACACCGAUGGCGAAGGCAAUCCCCUGGGCCUGUACUGACGCUCAUGCACGAAAGCGUGGGGAGCAAACAGGAUUAGAUACCCUGGUAGUCCACGCCCUAAACGAU
rnacentral:rRNA from 1 species